rnacentral:lncRNA from 1 species
GCCAUGAAAUCUCAAAUAAUUAAAAACUUUUAUUUUCACAUACAAUCUGUCCCAUAUACGGGCUUACGAGGCCCAAAACAUACAUCCGGAGUGGUUCGGGACCCAACCGAGAACUCAUGAAAAACUUAGAAAAUCUCCUGCAUCAAGGCUUCAUACGCCCGUGUGGGUAUAGAGCACACGCCCGUGUGCUAAGGACAUGCCCGUGUCCCAAACCCAUGUCCAAAACCUGGACAAAUACAAGGCUAUUUCCCAAGCCAUUUUGUCACACUCACAAUAGAUACACGCAUACUUAUACAAUAACAUACAACAUGGCAAAAUUAGGUACUUAAACAUUCCUAACAUGUCAUGGUUAUGGCAAUUUCACAUGCAAUAGAUAUCCUAAAUUUUACUCACAUCUUUACCACAUUCAUACUAUAAUCAUUAUAAACUCAUCACAUAAUACCAUAGCACAUGCAUGCAUAAUUAAAUUAGAUUUACAAUCCCAUAAUCAAAAUAGGCCAAUACAUAUGGUUAAAGCCAUAUCACAUACUCCAAUAUUUAAACUCCUAUACAUGCCAUAGGCUCAAAGUACUUGAAAUCACUACACCAAUAGCGUUAGCUUGACAGUGUGAUAAUAUCUCUGAUGGCCUCCAACCCGAGCUAACCUGGAAACUCUAGAAAACAUGGGAAAGAAGGGGGGUAAGCUUUCGCUUAGUAAGUUCAUAUGAAAACAAUAAGCAACUCAUUAACUUGUUUUAUCAAUGUUUACAACAUAUUUUCAAAUUCACUACAAGUUGUCUUUCUGAGCAACGGUCACUAAAUUAUUUAUAUCUAGAGCUACGAAUCUCCGAAUUAAGUUCCGUUAAUUUUCCCUGAAACUAGACUUAUUUUCCUUUCUUCCAUAAAAUUUACAGAAUUUUUGGUUAAGCCAAAUAGUACAGUUUAUUCCUCAAAUUUACCCCUGAUUCACUGUCUGACAGUUCCGACCCUUCUGUACUAAAGUUCAAUUAUCUCAUAGUACAAGACUCGAAUAAUGUUCUCGUCUAUUUCUCUAGAAACUAGACUUAUAUGUCUACUUAAUAAUUUUUUUUCUAGAAUUUUUGGUUGGGUCAAUUAGUACAGUUUAUUAGUAAAAGUCUCCCCUAUUUCAGGGUAUGACCACUCUGACCCCUGUGCACUACAAACCGAAUUUCUCCCUUUACAAAAUUCCAACGAUCAUGCCGUUUAUUUCCCCUAAAAAUAGACUCAAUAAGGAAUCCAUGAAUGUAAGGUAUGACUCUUAAUAAUUUUUGUAAAAUUUUUGGUGAAUUUCUAAAUUCAGAAUAGGGGAUCUCGAAUUCAUUCAGACCCUGUUUCACAAGAAUUCAAAUAUCACACAAUAUGGAAUUCUUUUUCUUCCCAUGUUUCUUUCAUGUGAAAGUAGACUCAUUAAGCUUUAAUCCCAUAUUUUAUUCUACCUCACUCAUUUUCCACUAUUUUUAGUGUAUUUUCAAAGUUACACUAUUGCAGUAACUCAAAUCUGUCAAGGCUAAAUUACUCAUUCAUGAUCAUUGUUCACAAAAUUAAUACAACAUCGUUUGUAUAAUCAUCACCGAGACAUUCAUAUCACAUUUUCAUUUACCAUCUUACCAUAUUGUUGUUAUGUCGAGUUUUCAACCCGAGGGUUAAGUACAUACAUGUUCAAAGUAUCCAUUUCACAACAUUUACCAAUACGUCCAUUUCAUCUCGAGUAUUCCUCCAUUUGAGUAGAAUUUUACCCCGGAAUAUAAUUCGGAUACAUGGAAAGUUUGCGCAUAAGUGCCACAUAUGUAGCCAAGCUACCAUGUAACCCGCCCAUAAGUGAACUCGGACUCAACUCAACGAGCUCGGGCGUUCGCAUCCAUAAGUGAACUCGGACUCAACUCAACGAGCUCGGAUGCCUAGUUACAUCUCACGAACUCGGACUCAACUCAACGAGUUCGAACAUUCGCAUCCAUAAGUGAACUCGGACUCAACUCAACGAGUUCGGAUGCUCAACCAUCCUAGUGACAUGUCACUUGUAUCCUAAUCUAUUCCUAAGGUUCAAACGGGAUUUUCCUCGAACACAUAUCCUUGCCAUCUUCCGUAAAAUAACGAAACCAAUACUCGGUAGCACUUUAUAUUUAACAGAUAAUACACAUAACUUGCAUUUUAUUCGAAAAUAACCACAAAGCAUAUAUUUCAUGAUAAAAAUCAGCAUAUCAUAUAUUUAACAUCAAUAACUUAAAAAUAACAAUUAUGCUACAUUAUUUACACAUGAACUUACCUCGAUACCACAAAAGUGAAAAAAAAAGACGUAAUUAUCCCUUAAUCGAUUUCUUUCCGUUCUAGGUCCAAAUCUCGAUUUUCAUCAUCUAAAAUAUCACAUUCAACUUAUUAAAACAAUGUACUGAUCAAAUUAGUCCAUUGACACACUUGGGAAAUUUUUACAAUGUUGCCCCUAUAUUUUGUCAAAAUUACCAAAUUACCCCUAGGCUCGUAAAAUAAUUUUUAUCACAUUUAUUUACUCCUUGAGUCUAGAUGAGCCAUUUUCAUAACUAUAGCAACUCAUAAAUUCAACUAUUUCACAUAUUUACAACUCAUUUUACAACUUAGCAAUCUAGCCCCUUUUUAAGGUGUUUUCAUGCAGUUUCUUUCACAAAAGUUGUUUAUUAGACAACUAGGACUCAUAAUCUUCCAUAAAAACACAGCAAACAACACAUUUAAUCUCAUGGAAAAACCUUAGACUCUUCAUCAUUUUUGCAAAAUAGACCCCUCAUAUGAAAGCUCAUGCUUUAGGGGUUCCAAAAAUGUAAAAAUCAUCAAGAAAAAGCAUUAAAAUCACUUACUAUAAAGGGAGUUUCUUUGCUGAAAGUUUCCAGUUUCUAAACCCUUUCUUUGCUGCCAUUUUUUCGGUGGAGAGAAGAUAAAGAAAAGAUGAUAUUUUCUUUUCUUUAUUUUAUUACUUAUUUGUCAAAUAAGUCACCCAACACUUACCUAACAUGCUUGACCGUUUCAUUCCUU